UAUAGCUCAGUUGGUAGAGCAUGAGAAUCUUAAUCUCUGGGUCAUGGUUUUGAGACCAUGAGUAAAAG